AAUACUCCACUUGUCUUCCGUAAGUAGUCAAAAAUGGCUUCUACUGAUCAGGAUAUUACUUCAACCAGCCCUUUGCCAUCAAGAGGAUGAAGGAUCUUCUAGUAAUUCAUAGUUUCCAGCAUAUAAAGCCUUUUUUCACAUGCUGAGAAAUGAGAAGGCACAUUACUAGUUGGAGCAAUGGCAAUCAGCAAUGAAAUCAGUUCUUCUUCUCCUGACCUGUUUCCUCAUCACUGGCCUGACCCUUGGACAUGCCACCAGAAAGAGAUUUACCCACUUAAGCAUUUCUCUAUGAUCUGCAUCUGUUGCUGGAGAUGAUCAUGUGUAUCUGCCUUUUUUUGAGAACUAGUCCUCCAAGCAGUUGCUCAUGGAACUUGAGCAGCCAUGGGAAUUGCAGCUUGCUGCUGAUUUGGACCUAGAAGAAGCCAAAAUAGGAAUCCUGAGUAAUCCCAGGAGAGGGAAAAUGUCUCCUUCUUCAGCACAUUGGCUGAAACCUGGCAUAUGGGCAGGACAAGCAGACGUUUUCUUUCUUGCUCUGCAAGCCCUUUUCAUUUAAACUGUGCAGAAUAGAAUAUUCAGCUGUUCCCUUUUCCCACAGGUUAACAUGGAUAAUAAAGACACUUCACUCUUUGCUUUCAAAUAUUUUUCUAAACUAUUUUGAUCCUUGAAACAUUUAUACUAACAAAGAAAUUCCACUGCCUCCUUGUCUCCCUCUCUCCCACCCCCACCCCAAUAACUUGCUCUGUCUUGUAACUCUGACUUGAUUUUUUGGCAUAUAUUUGCAUACAUUAGAAACGGAGAGAGGAUUAAAGUUUAAGAGGAAAUUGUGGCUAGUGUGAAAGGGGA